rnacentral:snoRNA from 1 species
UCUGCCCUUAGGUUGCAGGUGUGGCUGCUUGUCACAGUGUGUCAGUAUGGCAGAGAGGAGAGAGGCUGUGUCUGUGCUCAGUGUUCUGAACUGUGACCACCCAGAUAAUCACUAGACUGACCUU